AUCACCUUGACGGCGAGAAGUGGUCACAGAGAGACGGAAGCAGAGGGAUAAAAACAGAAACAGCCCUCAUGGGACAGGUCAAAGGUCGGAGGGCAGCCAAUAGCCUCUCCAGCUCCCGGUGAAGAAGGUUUAGCGGCUUUAAUGUGCGAGGAGUUAUGGCCUUCACUUGUAUCUGACCCUGGGGAAGCUUCACUCGUAUCUGACCUCAGGAGAGGAAGGCGGGCGGUAGGUGGUGAAGAUCAAAGUCAUCCUGCAGGACGCUGGCACAUGUGGCCGGACCCCCUCCUGGACAAACAUGAUGUAAUAUCUGUGUGAGCCAGCAGCUGACCCCCAGGGGUCCAGACUCGCAGCACAAUAAGGGCUUCCUUUUUUUUUUUUCACUUCGAUCAAAAGGGGCAGGAAAUGAUUGAGUGGCUUAUAACUCCCAUCGAAGCAUUUAAUAGAAAUAAGAGACGGCUCGACACACGAGGCAGGAAGAUGGAGAACGCGGAGGUGAUGGAUCCACCGGGGCCAUCUGUUUUCCUCAAAGGGGGCCAGAGCUGCGAUAAUGGAACGUCUUCUGUUACUGUUUACAUCGAGGUUAUGAAUUAGUGUUAAUUGUAACAGCGAUUAAAUGAUGAAAUAUA